rnacentral:rRNA from 1 species
UACAGAGGGUGCAAGCGUUAAUCGGAAUUACUGGGCGUAAAGCGCGCGUAGGUGGUCUGUUAAGUUGGAUGUGAAAUCCCCGGGCUCAACCUGGGAACUGCAUCCAAAACUGGCAAGCUAGAGUAUGGUAGAGGGUGGUGGAAUUUCCUGUGUAGCGGUGAAAUGCGUAGAUAUAGGAAGGAACACCAGUGGCGAAGGCGACCACCUGGACUGAUACUGACACUGAGGUGCGAAAGCGUGGGGAGCAAACAGG